rnacentral:rRNA from 1 species
CCUACGGGAGACAGCAGUGGGGAAUAUUGCACAAUGGGGGAAACCCUGAUGCAGCGACGCCGCGUGAGUGAGGAAGGAUUUCGGGAUGUAAAGCUCUAUCAGCAGGGAAGAAAAUGACGGUACCUGACUAAGAAGCCCCGGCUAACUCCGUGCCAGCAGCCGCGGUAAUACGUAGGGGGCAAGCGUUAUCCGGAUUUACUGGGUUUAAAGGGAGCGUAGACGGUUAAUCAAGGCAGAAGUGAAAACCCCGGGCUCACCCUUGGGACUGAUUUUGAAACUGCGUAGCUAGAGUGCAGGAGAGGUAAGCGGAAUUCCUCGUGUAGCGGUGAACUGCGUAGAUCUUACGCGGAACCCCAGUGGCGAAGGCGGCUUACUGGACUGUACCUGACGUUGCUGCUC